rnacentral:rRNA from 1 species
AGCAGCCGCGGUAAUUCCAGCUCCAAUAGCGUAUAUUAAAGUUGUUGCAGUUAAAAAGCCCGUAGUUGAAUUUCGGGAUCAAAUUGUCGGUCGUGCCUCGGUACGUACUGGUAUUAUUGGUUCCUCCCUUCUGACGAACCACGAUGUCAUUAAUUUGGUGUCAUGGGAAAUCAGGACUGUUACUUUGAAAAAAUUAGAGUGUUUAAAGCAGGCUCGCGCUUGAAUACAUUAGCAUGGAAUAAUGAAAUAGGACGUUUGAUUCUAUUUUGUUGGUUUCUAGGAUCGACGUAAUGAUUAAUAGGGAUAGUUGGGGGCAUUAGUAUUCAAUUGUCAGAGGUGAAAUUCUUGGAUUUAUUGAAGACUAACUACUGCGAAAGCAUUUGCCAAGGAUGUUUUCAUUAAUCAAGAACGAAAGUUAGGGGAUCGAAGACGAUCAGAUACCGUCGUAGUCUUAACCAUAAACUAUGCCGACUAGGGAUCGGAUGAUGUUAAUUUUUUAAUGACUCAUUCGGCGCCUUAC